CAAGUACUGCACAAAUGCGACGAUACGAUCGUCACACUGAAAUAGACUUAAACUUGUUUUGUCAUGAAAACGUUGUACUGCAUUAAACUGCGGGCAUCAAAAACUGAGUCAGUCCGGGUUCAACGUCGUCUUCCUCGUCAUCAUCAUCCUGUUGUUUCUGCAAAGACAGAGGGGGCGCAAGGCGGCAGAGAAAAUAGUUAGAAGUUGCUUCGACGUCUGAAGCUGUGCUGAUUAACAACCCUCGACCGUCAGCAGUCAGGUAUAUAUCCCAAGGAUCUUGCUGUUAAUAAAAAGAAGGCGACGCUUAUAGACUUUGGUCUCCUGCAGGCCAGGAGAGCAAUUGCAUUAUUUUGGAAAAAAGUGGACGUUCCUCCAAUAAAAGUAUGUAUGUUGGAAAUGCCAUCUUGUGUUGCACUGGAAAGACUCACGUACAUUACGAGACGAAGAGCUCAGGAAUUUGAGGAUAUAUGGAGACCCUUAGAAGAGUUUUUGAAAAAAAUGUGAAUUAUUUGUGAUUUGUGUGCUUUCUUUUUUAAUCACUAUUAUGUCUGUGCAUACUGUGUUUUUUUUCUGUUUUUGUUUCACUGUUAUUGUGUUGUUUUUGUAAAAUUAUAUAUGAAGAAUCUAAUAAUUAUAUUGUUUAAAAAAACUUGAAGUUAAACGGCAGUGCAGGUACUAUUUUACAUUCAAUGUACAGUAUUAUUGGUCCAAGCAGUCACAAAAUGCAGAGCGCCCCUCGUGAGAGGAACUGAAGGACAACAAUGACGGAAAGCCGACGCAGUGACACGGUGAUUCCUGACAGGACUUGUGAUACUGAAGGCUGUUUGACCUGAAAGAGAGCCAUCAUUCCUGGUGUCUCUUUAGCUUCUGACAUCUUCACAUAUUUCCUUGUUUACACAAUUUUUCUUACACUUAUUGGAACUAACUGUCCCGGCUACGAUGGUAUAAGGACGAUGACUGGACCCAAGGCCUAAUGGAAACACA